UAUAUUUGUUCCUUGCCAAAAAUUAGCUGGAAUUGUGUUAAGUGUUAUUUUGUAACGCACUUACAAGUGCCUGACCGACAUCAAAUUGAUCAAAGGCACCAUGAAUUUCUUUCAUGUCAAAUAUUAACUGGAAUUCGACAGAGUUGGCAUGUUUUUCUUAUUUUCCCGAAAUUACUAACCCUCGUGAAAAAAUAAAUACAUCUUCUUAACACAGUUGGUAUCCAUCCAAUUUUUUUCAAACCUAUAAAGGCUUUUUGAGUGAUUUGACAUUAAUGUCGUCGUGCCUUUUUAAGGUCUUUCAUGUGGAAAUUUCAUAGAAGAAUUUAUUAAAGAAGCCUUCAAAAUAAAUAGACAAAAAAUAAAAAGUCAUUAAAAAUCCAACAAACAGAGUGGAAACCACGAAAAUGGGUGAUGAAAAGUAUAUGAGUCACUAAAAACGAUAAGAAAUUCAAAUCUCGCGCCACAACACCAACAAAUUGCUAUAUUUCCGUUGACGCGUACAAGAAGGAAGAGAGCAGACAUUGCAAACUCCAAGCAGAUGGUUAUAAGUGGAUGAUAACCGUAAAUAAAUCUUUGUGGUUAACAAAAAAAAUGUCCGCAAAUAAAACUGUUUAUUUGUAAUUUCCCUAAUGUCUGUCGUUGACGUAUUAAUCAAUCAAAUUUAUGGCUUGUAUUGUGGAAGGAUGAACGGACAUAUUUGCAUUUUAUAUUUGGCAGAUGAUAAAUAAAAUUAAAAAGUCUUUGA